GUCUAUAGCCCUGCUACCCUGAACAAGCCCGAUCCCGUCUGAUUCCGGAAGCAAAGCAGGGUUGGGCCUGGUUAGGACUUGGAUGGGAGACCACCUUGGAAGACCAGGUGCCGCAGGUG
rnacentral:rRNA from 1 species